GCUGAACGCUAGCGGCAGGCCUAAUACAUGCAAGUCGAGGGGCAGCAGAGGUAGCAAUACUGGAUGGCGACCGGCGCACGGGUGCGUAACGCGUAUGUACUCUACCUUCAACAGAGGGAUAGCCCGAAGACAUUUGGAUUAAUACCUCAUAGCACGUAGCUGUGGCAUCCCAGUUACGUUACAGCUUUAUCGGUUGAAGCUGAGCAUGCGUAAGAUUAGCUAGUUGGAGGGGUAAUGGCGCGCCAAGGCGACGAUCUUUAGCGGGUCUGAGAGGAUGAUCCGCCACACUGGCACUGGGAUACGGGCCAGACUCCUACGGGAGGCAGCAGUAGGGAAUAUUGGUCAAUGGAGGCAACUCUGAACCAGCCAUGCCGCGUGAAGGAAGAAGGCCUUCUGGGUUGUAAACUGCUUUUAUACAGGAAGAAGAGCUCACGUGUGGGUCGAUGACGGUACUGUACGAAUAAGCACCGGCUAACUCCGUGCCAGCAGCCGCCGUAA
rnacentral:rRNA from 1 species